UAAUCAUUUGUUUAUUAACUGUAGACCUGUAUGAAAGACAAAAUGAGGGUUUAACUGUCUCUUAUAGUAAAUCUAUUAAACUGAUCUACUAGUAAAAAAGCUAGUAUACCCCCAUAAGACCAGAAGACCCUGUGAAGCUUUAACUAAACUAUUAAAUCAAAUAAUAGCUACUUUAGGUUGGGGCGACCUUGGAAAAAAAAAGAACUUCCACACAUUAAACUCACAUAGGCCCACAAGCCAAUUUACGACCCAGUAACACUGAUAACUGAACCAAGUUACUCCAGGGAUAACAGCGCCAUCUUCUUCAAGAGCCCAUAUCAAAAAGAAGGUUUACGACCUCGAUGUUGGAUCAGGACACCCCAAUGGUGCAACCGCUAUUAAAGGUU
rnacentral:rRNA from 1 species